rnacentral:rRNA from 1 species
AUGUACAUUCCUACAAUGUUAAUGCAUUGGAUCCCAUUAGAACUCUGUAGUUAAGUGUGCUUGCGCUAGAGUGGUACUAGGAUGGGUGACCUCCCAGAAAGUCCUAGUGAUUUACAUG